rnacentral:lncRNA from 1 species
AAAAGAGUCUUUCUCUGAGGGAACCAGACACUUGGACCUUUGUCACAGACGGAAGAUGGAGACGCUGCUGGUUCUCUGCGUCGCUCUCAGCUUCACCUCAGCUAAAGUUACCACAACAACCACCUCACGGCCGGUUUACAGCACUCGAGAUUUCACCACACACAGUGUAUCCAUGGCGACUGACCAUACCGUCAGCUCGAACAGUGCGACCACGGAGAGACGAACGAGUCACGCCAGGGAGUCAACAGCACACGGGCGCUCCACCAGUCUGCCCGGCAACACCCCGACAACACCAGGCUCCACUGUAACCAUAGGAACCGCGACUGACCAUACCGUCAGCUCGAACAGUGCGACCACGGAGAGACGAACGAGUCACGCCAGGGAGUCAACAGCACACGGGCGCUCCACCAGUCUGCCCGGCAACACCCCGACAACACCAGGCUCCACUGUAACCAUAGGAACCGCGACUGACCAUACCGUCAGCUCGAACAGUGCGACCAGGGGAGUACCAGGCUCCACUGUAACCAUAGGAACCGCGACUGACCAUACCGUCAGCUCGAACAGUGCGACCACGGAGAGACGAACGAGUCACGCCAGUGAGUCAACAGCUCACAGGCCCUCUGCCAGUCUGCCCGGCAACACCCCGGCAAUGGAAACCAGUGACCACACAACACCAGAGUCCACUGUAACCAUAGGAACCAGUCACAGCGUCAGCUCCACUGGCGGAGGAAGCAGUUCCUCCUCUGGACCCCACAGGACAGCCGGCAACUCGGCAACAGCCAGCAACUCGGCAACAGGCAGCAGGUCGCCUGUCUCCGCUUUCCCACAAGAACCAAUCACAUCCCAGAUCACAGACACAAGCCCGACCCCAGCUGCAGCAGCCGGUGGCGGUGUCCCUGGAUGGGGAAUCGCUCUGCUGGUUCUGGCCUCUCUGGUUCUGCUGCUGCUGCUCCUGCUGCUUUUGGCCCUGGUGAGCACACACACACACACGCACACACACGCGCACGCACUCACACACACACACACACACACGCACACACUAUUUGUCAGUAAACUCAAGUCUUACAUCUAGAGUCGAUUGUGCGUAGAGCUCGGAGUGUUGCUAAAUUGCAGUUGACUGACGCUGAGCACUGUACCUGAACGCCUCGUUGGGUCGUGUUCGGUCCGUACGUGAAACAAGCGUCUUCUUCCACUGUACGUCAACGUCG